rnacentral:rRNA from 1 species
GCAGCAGUGGGGAAUAUUGGACAAUGGGGGAAACCCUGAUCCAGCAAUGCCGCGUGUGUGAUGAAGGCCUUAGGGUUGUAAAGCACUUUCACUGGUGAAGAUGAUGACGGUAGCCAGAGAAGAAGCCCCGGCUAACUUCGUGCCAGCAGCCGCGGUAAUACGAAGGGGGCGAGCGUUGUUCGGAAUUACUGGGCGUAAAGGGCGCGUAGGCGGUCUUUUAAGUUAGGCGUGAAAGCCCCGGGCUCAACCUGGGAACUGCGCUUAAGACUGGAAGACUAGAAAACGGAAGAGGGUAGUGGAAUUCCCAGUGUAGAGGUGAAAUUCGUAGAUAUUGGGAAGAACACCAGUGGCGAAAGCGGCUACCUGGUCCGAUUUUGACGCUGAGGCGCGAAAGCGUGGGGAGCAAACAGGAUUAGAUACCCUGGUAGUCCACGCCGUAAACGAUGUCUGCUAGAUGUCGGGGGGUUGCCCCUCGGUGUCGCCGCUAACGCAUUAAGCAGACCGCCUGGGAAGUACGGUCGCAAGAUUAAAACUCAAAGGAAUUGACGGA